rnacentral:snRNA from 1 species
AUCACUUCUCAGCCUUUUGGCUAAUAUCAAGUGUAGUAUCUGUUCUUAUCAGUUUAAUAUCUGAUACGUCCUCUACCUGAGGACAAUAUGUUAAAUGAAUUUUUGGAGAUUGGAGUUGGAAUAGGAGCUUGCUCUGUCCAUUCCACACACUGACCUGGUAUUGCAGUACCUCUAGGAAUGGUGCAAUCCCU